rnacentral:lncRNA from 1 species
CUAUGGCAACUGAUUGUGAGGUCACCAGUCCUUAAAGCAACAGAAUAUGUGGGUCCAGACAAUGGCCUGCAAGAGAAAGGAAGAAUACAAAAUGGAAGCCUGGGAUAGAGAUCAUCUCCUAGGAAAGGGGGAGGCCACCCAAGGCCUGUCAGGGGGAGGGCUCCACUUCUCAGCCCAUCUGCAGUAGGUCCACAUUCGGGCAGCACUGGCUCCUUCUUAGUCCCAUGGAAGCACAGAUCAACAUCAUUGCCCUUGCAAACUUCUCUCAGCUUAGGAGAGUCUACUCGCUCUUUGCACAUUGUUGACAUGAAAUGAAUAUUAAACACCAAACCUCAUAGAGGCCAGCCCUGCUGGGCGAGCAAUGAACCAACCCUCCUCAUGCCUGUUCAUUAUUAUAAUUAACAUUGAGCCGAGGUUGGUGGUGACCUCGCCCUCGCCAGGUAUUUGGGCUGUUUUAGCAGCUUAUUCAGAUCAGUGACAGACAGCUCUGAAUAGAUAAACUCCCCGCCAUCCAGACGAAUCAAUUGCAACACUGCCGUCACAACAAGCCCAAUAAAUCAAUCUGAUUUCAGGCGACAUGGUAACUCAGUGCUGGGCAAGCUGGUUUUAAUUUCCGCGUGGCUGAGACCCAGCUUCCUCUACUCACUGGAGCACCCCUCUUUCCCAGCUGAUGCUCUGUG